rnacentral:rRNA from 1 species
GGAAUUUUGGACAAUGGGCGAAAGCCUGAUCCAGCCAUUCCGCGUGCAGGUUGAAGGCCCUCGGGUUGUAAACUGCUUUUGUACAGAACGAAAAGGUUUCUAUUAAUACUAGGAGCUCAUGACGGUACUGUAAGAAUAAACACCGGCUAACUACGUGCCAGCAGCCGCGGUAAUACGUAGGGUGCAAGCGUUAAUCGGAAUUACUGGGCGUAAAGCGUGCGCAGGCGGUUAUAUAAGUCAGAUGUGAAAUCCCCGGGCUCAACCUGGGAACUGCAUUUGAGACUGUAUAGCUAGAGUACGGUAGAGGGGGAUGGAAUUCCGCGUGUAGCAGUGAAAUGCGUAGAUAUGCGGAGGAACACCGAUGGCGAAGGCAAUCCCCUGGACCUGUACUGACGCUCAUGCACGAAAGCGUGGGGAGCAAACAGGAUUAGAUACCCUGGUAGUCCACGCCCUAAACGAUGUCAACUGGUUGUUGGGUCUUAACUGACUCAGUAACGAAGCUAACGCGUGAAGUUGACCGCCUGGGGAGUACGGCCGCAAGGUUGAAACUCAAAUGAAUUGACGG